rnacentral:rRNA from 1 species
GACGAACGCUGGCGGCGUGCUUAACACAUGCAAGUCGAACGGUGAAGCUCCAGCUUGCUGGAGUGGAUCAGUGGCGAACGGGUGAGUAACACGUGAGCAACCUGCCCCUGACUCUGGAAUAAGCGCUGGAAACGGCGUCUAAUACUGGAUACGAGAAGGGUCCGCAUGGGCACUUUCUGGAAAGUUUUUCGGUUGGGGAUGGUCUCGCGGCCUAUCAGCUUGUUGGUGAGGUAAUGGCUCACCAAGGCGACGACGGGUAGCCGGCCUGAGAGGGCGACCGGCCACGCCGGGACUGGAACAGGGCACAGACUCCUACGGGAGGCAGCGGAGGGGAAUAUUGCACAAUGGGAGAAAGCCUGAUGCAGCGACGCCGCGAGGGGGAUGACGGCAUUCGGGUUGUAAACCUCUUUCAGCAGGGAAGAAGCGAAAGUGACGGUACCUGCAGAAGAAGCUCCGGCUAACUACGUG